GGGAACCCUGUUCCCGAGGGGCCUGGGUGGGGAGAGUGGUUGAGAUGAUGGUGGGAUUGUGUGGAAGCUGAAAGAGGUGUGUGUGGUGGAUGACUGUUAUGUUCUCCCUGUGGUGCUGUUGUUUUGGGUUUCCGCUAACAAUAAAACAAAAUGUAGCAAGUUUUCCAGAAAUAGAAAAAUUGUUAUAUUGUAUUGAUAUGUAUUUGGCUUGUGUUGCUCUGUAUUGGUCUGUAUUUGUGUUUGCUGCUGCAUUUCCAUGUAUUGCUCUGUAUGCAAAUUGGACUUUUACCAGUGUGUAUAUGGGUUGUAUUUGUAUACAUUGUUGUUUCUGUAUUUUGUGCUAGAGUGUAAAUACAAAAAUCCAUUCAAUAAAGUUGAAUAAACCCUAAAACCCUAAUAAAGAUACCCACCCCCCCCCCC